CUAUUUUUGGACACUACAAUGUCGAAGUGUGCUGCAAUGCUAAGUCGUCUUUACGACAUUUCUCAAGUUGCACCACAUUAGGACCAUUCACAAAAUCCUGACGGCAGCAUAUUGAUCAUUUCAGAAUUGUUUAACCUUUCACCGGUCAAAACAUUACCAGACUGUUUCCUUAAUUCAUCCUCAGGACAAACCUCUGUGACCAGCACUCCAGCCACCGGACCUUGAGCAACAUUAUGGCUGGCCCCACUUGAUGUACAGGUUUGGUUUUGUCCCCAUUUCAGUACUCCUUUAACAUAUUUAUAUGACAACGGCGUAAAGGGUGCCUCCGCUCAGGAGUCCUGACCAUGUCAUUUGUCUCACUAACACACUUUUCCACAGUGUAUGGACCACAGUACUGCGCUGAUAGCGAUUAACCUGGUACUGGCAACAACACCAGCACCUGAUCUCCAGGGAGGAACACACGCUUCACUGCUUUUUGUCAUACCUUUACUUCAUCCGUUUCUGUGUUGCCGAAAGACAUUCCUUCGCUAAUUCACAGGCUAGAUGCAAUCUUUCUUGUGUCUUUGCCACAUAGUCCAACACGAUAGUCACAGUAUGUUGUUUGUCACCCAACAAUUGUUCCUUCAGUAUUUGUAGGGGGACCCCGCACUGUGUGACCAAACACCAGGUCAUUUGGACUGAAUCCUGUUGAUUCUUGAGUUGUUUCCCUGAUAGCGAACAAAACAAAAGGUAGCCCUUCAUCCCAGUCCGUCUGAGCAGACAAGCAAUGUUUUUUUAGCAUGCCUUUCAAUGUUUGAUGCCAUCAUUCUAACGCCCCCUGACUUUCAGGGUGGUAGGCAUUGGACGUUUGGUGGGUGAUCGCUAAUGACCUCCUCACCGAGGCAAACAAGGAUGAUGUGAAAUUGGACCCCUGGUCCGAAUGCAAUUCCUUAGGUAACCCAAAAGUGAUAAAGAACUUUAUUAGUCCUUUAACUACUGCUUUGGUGGUGAUUUUGCUGAUGAUAGUCAGCAGGAAUCGGUUGCCAGCCCUCGUUUUUAGCAGAGGGCCUACACAGUCGAUCAUAACCCUGUCAAAUGGUUCCCCCACCACCGGUAUUGGAUACAAUGGAGCACGAGGAACCCCCUGAUUUGGUUUUCCUGCUAGCUGACAGAUCUUACAAGCAUUGCAGUACCUGAUCACAUCCUUUUUCAGACCAGGCCAAGAGAAGUGUCUGAGGACACGGUCAUAAGUCUUCCGGAUGCCCAGGUGCCCUGCCACCGUGUAGUCAUGAGCCAGCGACAACACCUGCUGACGAAACAGUGUGGGCAACACAACCUGGUAUGCGCUCGACUGAAGGUGGAGGAGACUUGUCCUUUUUGUUGGGAGGCAGUGGGUCUGGAUCACACACAGCUUGAUAUAAGGAUGACACAUCAUAUACGUUCUUCCUUUUUCUUUCCUGCGCACGUGUCACAACACACGCAGGAAACACUGACCCGUCUGUCUCUGUUCCAGUGUAGGCGGGAUCUGGGUUGUCCACAACCUCUGGGACCGGGACCACUCUGCCCUCUGCUAUGUCGUUGCCCAGUAGAAACAACACCCCAUCUACUGGCAACCGUGGGACCACACCCACACGGCCAGAGACGAUAGACGACGACAGAUAAACCCAGUCCACGGCACAGACAUUGUGCCCAUCUCAACUCCUGUCAAUAAAACAUGUGAUCCAUAAUACGACUUCACAGACCAGGGUAGCGAUGUAGAUACAAUGAUAGACUGAGCAGCCCAAUACUGAGCAGUAUUGUUACUGGCUCGCUUCCUCAUCGCACAGAGACACCCACCCCUUAGAGAGAAAAGGGCUGUACACUACUGCGGGCUUCUUUGGGCUCACAAAGCAAACACCCUUACUCCUAGCUAGCUAGCUGUCUACCUGCCUUUCUACCUCCCUAGCUGUCUUCUUGUCUGUCUAUUUCCC
ensembl:lncRNA